rnacentral:lncRNA from 1 species
ACCCAAGGGGAUGGCGCCACGAGCUAGGUAGCUUCUACUCCUUAUUUUGGACCUUGUUGUGCCACGUCGGACAUGUUUGGCCGACGUUGAACUUGUAUGGAUGCAUUUGGACAUGUUGGACUUGUAUGGAUGCACUUGUGAUAUGGACUUCUAUGCAUGGAUAUGGAUUUGAUGCUAUAUUAUGUUUGAAAUGGCGUAUUAUUGCGAAUAUAUGUGAUGAAUGUUGUAUAUAUUGCUUCUGAUACCAUGCUUGUGUUUAAAUGUGCUGGAAAUGGAAGAAAACAGGGAAAAAAAGGAAAAAAAUUUCCCCAGGUUUGCCGAUGGUUAACCAUCGGCAAACCUGGAGAAAUUGGCCCAGCGCGCCCCAGGUAUGCCGAUGGCCGUGGCCAUCGGCAAACUAAUCAUAAAUUUGCCGAUGGCCGAGACCAUCGGCAAAAAAAUUCGUGAAAUGAUUUUUAAAAAACAAAAUAAAAAAAUGCCGACGGCCC